rnacentral:lncRNA from 1 species
GAUUCCAACCUGUUGGGAUGGAUAUUUGAGAAAGUUAUUAUUGUAAUGGUUGUUUAUUUCGUCCUGUCAAUCAUCAACUCCACAGCCCAGAGCUACCACAAAAGACUGUGUAAAGAAAAGCACAAGAAAUCUCAAUCAUGAUUAGAGAUAUUAUGUGUAUGAAAAAACAGUGCAAAUAUUGUUUGUAAAGCUGUACUACUGUUUGUGUGUGUGUAUUUGUGAGUUCAAACCAUAUUAGGUUAAUUCUUUUAUACAAUGUAGCACAUAUCAUUUCAGUUGUGUAUUUUUUUUUAAUUGAACUUUUCAUUUUCUAUAGUCAUGUAUUAAAGGAUGGAAAUUCUAUUUUCUUAUAAUUUUCAAUUAUAUUUUUGUUAAUUUUAUUUGUUCGAUUUUGAAAUAUUUUGAAACUUCACUAUUUAAAAGUUGAUAAAAGAAUUAAUUUAUCAUGGCAUAUUUAUUGUAUUUGAAUGUUUGUAAUACGAAUUAUGAAUAUCUUAUUUUAAAUAUAUAUAGUUGGCUAUAUUAAUGGAAAACACCUUAUCGCUAAUCCCGGCUGACCCGGCCGCUUGAACUUUUGACGCAUACAACAAUCACUUUUCCAUUGUGGCGUCAGAUAUUUUGUUUUGUGACGUCAAGUUUUUACGGGAACCUGUGUAAUAUCCAGUAAUGGCGGACAAAUAGCGAUAAGGUGUAUGCUUCAUACUGUGUUUAAAUUAAUUUCAAUGAAAAUGAUAUCAGACAAUGCCUGUUUAAAUUAAUUUCAAUGAAAAUGAUAUCAGACAAUGCCGUUGUUUUCAGCUCAACAUACAUAGCAAAAAACUAUUCUUGAAGUUAAUUUUUCAAUGAGAAUAAGAAUAAAGAGAUUGAUGCUGGAUUUCAAAUAAUGUUGGUACAUGGUUUACUCAUUGUUGAAGGCCAUACAUUGACCUCUAACUGUUAAAUUCUGUGACAUUUGAUCUAUUGUAGAAAAUUGUCUCAUAAACAAUCAAACCACAUCUUUCUUAUUUAUAUAAAUAUAUAUGCAAUUUAACUAACCAAUGAUCACAGUUUUUUUGCUUUCAGAACAUGAUUUAAGAC